rnacentral:rRNA from 1 species
UGUCGGCUCAUCACAUCCUGGGGCUGAAGCAGGUCCCAAGGGUACGGCUGUUCGCCGUUUAAAGUGGUACGCGAGCUGGGUUCAGAACGUCGUGAGACAGUUCGGUCCCUAUCUGCCGUGGGCGUUGGAAGAUUGAGGAGAGUUGACCCUAGUACGAGAGGACCGGGUUGAACGAAUCACUGGUGUACCAGUUGUCCUGCCAAGGGCAUCGCUGGGUAGCUACAUUCGGAUGAGAUAACCGCUGAAGGCAUCUAAGCGGGAAGCCAACUCCAAGAUGAAUCUUCCCUGAAGAUCCGCAGAAGACUACUGCGUUGAUAGGCUGGAUGUGUAAGUGAUUAAAGUCAUUUAGCUGACCAGUACUAAUAGAUCGUUUGUAUUUUUUUAAUC